UGGGGAAUAUUGCACAAUGGGCGAAAGCCUGAUGCAGCGACGCCGCGUGAGCGAAGAAGUAUUUCGGUAUGUAAAGCUCUAUCAGCAGGGAAGAAGAAAUGACGGUACCUGACUAAGAAGCACCGGCUAAAUACGUGCCAGCAGCCGCGGUAAUACGUAUGGUGCAAGCGUUAUCCGGAUUUACUGGGUGUAAAGGGAGCGCAGGCGGUACGGCAAGUCUGAUGUGAAAGCCCGGGGCUCAACCCCGGUACUGCAUUGGAAACUGUCGGACUAGAGUGUCGGAGGGGUAAGUGGAAUUCCUAGUGUAGCGGUGAAAUGCGUAGAUAUUAGGAGGAACACCAGUGGCGAAGGCGACUUACUGGACGAUAACUGACGCUGAGGCUCGAAAGCGUGGGGAGCAAACAGG
rnacentral:rRNA from 1 species